AGAGCGGCGGACGGGUGAGUAACACGUGGACAAGUCUGCCCCCGGCCCGGGAUAGCCCAGGGAAACCUGGAUUAAUACCGGAUGAGACGGGACCCGCGAAGGCGGGACCCGGGAAAGGCGCUGCGGCGCCGGCGGGGGAUGGAGUCUGCGUCCCAUUAGCUAGACGGCGGGGUAAACGGCCCACCGUGGCGACGAUGGGUAGCCGGCCUGAGAGGGUGGACGGCCACAUUGGAACUGAGACACGGUCCAGACUCCUACGGGAGGCAGCAGCUAAGAAUCUUCCGCAAUGGGCGAAAGCCUGACGGAGCGACGCCCGCGUGAACGAAGAAGGCCGUGAGGUUGUAAAGUUCUUUUCGGGAGGGGGAACAACCGUGGCAGGGAAUGGCCGCGGGAUGACGUGAAUCCCGGAAUAAGCCCCGGCUAACUACGUGCCAGCAGCCGC
rnacentral:rRNA from 1 species